CUUGGUCAUUUAGAGGAAGUAAAAGUCGUAACAAGGUUUCCGUAGGUGAACCUGCGGAAGGAUCAUUAUCGAAACAUCGCCUGCGCUGUGCGCCUCGCACGCCGGGCUAUUGUCUCCUCACACCUGUGCACCUUCGGGCCGUCCAGGCGGCCCGCCCCUUUUCAUAUUUACACCGGUCUUCGAAUGUAACAUGUGUAUAUCUAAUAUACGUCACAACUUUCAACAACGGAUCUCUUGACUCUCGCAUCGAUGAAGAACGCAGCGAAAUGCGAUAAGUAAUGUGAAUUGCAGAAUUCAGUGAAUCAUCGAAUCUUUGAACGCACCUUGCGCUCCUUGGUAUUCCAUGGAGCAUGCCUGUUUGAGUGUCACGUGAAUCCAUCACCUCCCUUCGGGGUUGCGUGGACUUGGACGCUGCCGGCCCGAUCGCGGUCGGCUCGUCUCGAAAUGCAUUAGCCUGCAGAGUGUCUGCCGGGCCUUUGGCGUGAUAGUACAUUUCGCCGCUGCGCUCUGGUGACGUCUGGCUCUGGGCUCAUAAUGACGAGCGUCUCGCUCGAUAUAAUUUUUACGCUCUGGCCUCAAAUCAGGUAGGACUACCCGCUGAACUUAAGCAUAUCAAUAAGCGGAGGA
rnacentral:rRNA from 1 species